AUACGUAGGUGGCAAGCGUUGUCCGGAAUUAUUGGGCGUAAAGCGCGCGCAGGUGGUUCCUUAAGUCUGAUGUGGAAGCCCCCGGCUCAACCGGGGAGGGUCAUUGGAAACUGGGGAACUUGAGUGCAGAAGAGGAUAGUGGAAUUCCAAGUGUAGCGGUGAAAUGCGUAGAGAUUUGGAGGAACACCAGUGGCGAAGGCGACUGUCUGGUCUGUAACUGACACUGAGGCGCGAAAGCGUGGGGAGCAAACGGGAUUAGAUACCCUGGUAGUCCACGCCGUAAACGAUGAGUGCUAAGUGUUGGGGGGUUUCCGCCCCUCAGUGCUGCAGCUAACGCAUUAAGCACUCCGCCUGGGGAGUACGGUCGCAAGACUGAAACUCAAAUGAAUUGACGGGG
rnacentral:rRNA from 1 species